AGGAACCUCCUCAAAGGAUUCUAUGGGCAGUCGAUGCAGGAAGCCAGGAACUCCCUGCAUCGGCGAUUUU
rnacentral:antisense_RNA from 1 species